ACAGAGACCCAGAAAGGUCAAGUGGCUUGUCAAGGUCAUUUGAAGAUGGCAUUGGAUCUAGGACUUAAAGGAGAAUAAUUUGAACAUAUAGACGUUGGGAUGAGAGUGGAGCGAAUGAAAAGAACCAAAUAGGAUAAGAUUAAAGCUGAGGAAACUGAUGUUCUCAGUAGAGCUGU